UGCCAGCCGCCGCGGUAAGACGAACCGUACGAACGUUAUUCGGAAUUACUGGGCUUAAAGGGUGCGUAGGCUGCACGGAAAGUUGGGUGUGAAAGCCCUCAGCUCAACUGAGGAAUUGCAUCCAAAACUGCUAAGCUAGAGUGCGAGAGAGGAGAGUAGAAUUUCUGGUGUAGCGGUGAAAUGCGUAGAUAUCAGAAGGAAUACCAAUGGCGAAGGCAGCUCUCUGGCUCGUCACUGACGCUGAGGUGCGAAAGCGUGGGUAGCAAACAGGAUUAGAUA
rnacentral:rRNA from 1 species